rnacentral:rRNA from 1 species
UAGUCCACGCCGUAAACGAUGUGCACUAGAUCGCAGGGGCUCUCAUGUCUUUGCGGUCGAAGGAAAACCGUUAAGUGCACCGCCUAGGGAGUACGGUCGCAAGGCUAAAACUCAAAGGAAUUGACGGGGGCUCACACAAGCGGUGGAGCAUGUUGCUUAAUUCGAGGCAACGCGAAGAACCUUACCUGGGUUUGACAUGCACGGAUUAACUCUGUGAAAGCAGAGCCACGCCUUCGGGUGGAACGUGCACAGGUGCUGCAUGGCUGUCGUCAGCUCGUGCUGUGAAGCGUCGGGUUAAGUCCCUUAACGAGCGCAACCCCUACUCGCUAGUUGCCAGCGCGUCAUGGCGGGGACUCUAGCGAGACUGCCGGUGUCAAACCGGAGGAAGGUGGGGAUGACGUCAAGUCCUCAUGGCCCUUAUAUCCAGGGUUGCAAGCGUGCUACAAUGGCAUGGACAAAGCGACGCAAUGCCGCGAGGCGGAGCAAAUCGCAAAAA